AACUUUUGGCAAUGGAUCUCUUGGCUCUCGCAUCGAUGACGAACGCAGCGAAAUGCGAUAAGUAAUGUAAAUUGCAGAAUUCAGUGAAUCAUCGAAUCUUGGAACGCACCUUGCGCUCCUUGGUAUUCCGAGGCGCAUGCCUGUUUGAGUGUCAUUAAAUUCUCAGCCUUCCAGCUUUUAUGAGCUUGGUUAGGCUUGGAUGUGGGGGUUGCGGGCUUCAUCAAUGAGGUCGGCUCUCCUUAAAUGCAUUACCGGAACUUUUGUGGACCGUCUAUUGGUGUGAUAAUUAUCUACGCCGUGGAUGUGAAGCAGCUUUAUGAAAUUUUGCUUCUAACCGUCCAUUGACUUGGACAAUUUUGACAAUUUGACCUCAAAUCAGGUAGGACUACCCGCUGAACUUAAGCAUAUCAAUAAGCGGAGGCC
rnacentral:misc_RNA from 1 species